rnacentral:rRNA from 1 species
AACGAACGCUGGCGGCAGGCUUAACACAUGCAAGUCGAACGCCCCGCAAGGGGAGUGGUAGACGGGUGAGUAACGCGUGGGAACGUGCCCUUCGCCUCGGAAUAGUCCCGGGAAACUGGGUUUAAUACCGGAUACGCCGUAUUGGGAAAGAUUUAUCGGCGAAGGAUCGGCCCGCGUUAGAUUAGGUAGUUGGCGGUGUAAUGGACCACCAAGCCUACGAUCUAUAGCUGGUCUGAGAGGAUGAUCAGCCACACUGGGACUGAGACACGGCCCAGACUCCUACGGGAGGCAGCAGUGGGGAAUCUUGGACAAUGGGCGAAAGCCUGAUCCAGCCAUGCCGCGUGAGUGAAGAAGGCCUUAGGGUUGUAAAACUCUUUCGCCGGAGAAGAUAAUGACGGUAUCCGGAGAAGAAGCCCCGGCUAACUUCGUGCCAGCAGCCGCCGUAA